rnacentral:rRNA from 1 species
UACGUAGGGUGCAAGCGUUGUCCGGAAUUAUUGGGCGUAAAGAGCUCGUAGGCGGUCUGUCGCGUCUGCUGUGAAAACUCAGGGCUUAACCCUGAGCUUGCAGUGGGUACGGGCAGACUAGAGUGCGGUAGGGGAGACUGGAAUUCCUGGUGUAGCGGUGAAAUGCGCAGAUAUCAGGAGGAACACCGGUGGCGAAGGCGGGUCUCUGGGCCGAUACUGACGCUGAGGAGCGAAAGCAUGGGUAGCGAACAGG